GAAGCAUGCGCAUUUAGCACCAUUUGGUGUAGGUUUGCUUGAGGCUUAUAAAAAUCUUCAUCUUCUAAUGAGAAAGCGGAGGUUUGAAAACUCCAAAUGGUUUCUAAAAGCCUUGUAACAAUUUCAUCAUCCAUUUUGCUCGAAAUGGUUUUCCUGCUGUUAUUGUCCUCGAGAUUUGGCUGAGAAUCACUUGCUGAAGUUUGAGGAAACUUCCUCUCCCUGCAGAGCCGGCCGCCACAUUUUCCUUCUGCAACCUUUCCCGCCAUUGGAAUUUCCUCCCGCAGCUUUCUGGUCGCUGAAAUUCCUCCUGCAGCCAACCAGGCCAUCCCAAUGGAGUUAUUUGUAACUGUAGAAGGCUGUGCCCGAUGAUGCAGAAGAGCGGCGAUACGCGUGCAA